GUGCUCGCUUUGGCAGCACAUAUGCUUAAAUUGGAAUGAUACAGAGAAGAUUAGCAUGGUCCCUGCGUAAGGAUGACACAAAAAUUUGUGAAGUGUCCUAUACUACA